AGUUCGAUUAUGGCUCAGAUUGAACGCUGGCGGGAUGCUUUACACAUGCAAGUCGAACGCAACACGGACUUCGGUCUGGUGGCGAGUAUGAACGGGUGAGUAAUGUAUCGGAACGCCUAGUAGCGGGGGAUAACUACGCGUGCGGAAAGCGUAGCCACACCGCAUACGCCCUUCGGGGAAAGCGGGGACCUUUCGCCUCGCACUAUUAGAGCGGCCGAUAUCGGAUUAGCUGUUGGUGGGUAACGGCUCACCAAGGCGACGAUCCGUAGCUGGUUUGAGAGGACGACCAGCCACACUGGGACUGAGACACGGCCCAGACUCCCUACGGGAGGCAGCAGGGAAUUUUGGACAAUGGGGAACCCCGAUCCAGCCAUCCCGCGUGUGCGAUGAAGGCCUUCGGGUUGUAAAGCACUUUUGCAGGAAAGAAACGGCACGGGAUAAUACCCCGUGCAACUGACGGUACCUGCAGAAUAAGCAGCACCGGCUAACUACGUGCCAGCAGCUGCGGUAAUACGUAGGGUGCAAGCGUUAAUCGGAAUUACUGGGCGUAAAGCGUGCGCAGGCGGUUCGAAAGAAAGAUGUGAAAUCCCAGGGCUUAACUUUGGAACUGCAUUUUUAACUACCGAGCUAGAGUGUGUCAGAGGAGGUGGAAUUCCGCGUGUAGCAGCAGUGAAAUGCGUAGAUAUGCGGAGGAACACCGGAUGGCGAAGGCAGCCUCCUGGGAUAACAUUGACGCUCAUGCACGAAAGCGUGGGGAGCAAACAGGAUUAGAUACCCUGGUAGUCCACGCCCCCAAACGAUGUCAACUAGCUGUUGGGCAUUUCGGGCCUUGCAGCGCACAAUUAUGUGAAGUUGACCGCCUGGGGAGUACGGUCGCAAGAUUAAAACUCAAAGGAAUUGACGGGGACCCGCACAAGCGGUGGAUGAUGUGAUUUAAUUGAUGCAACGCGAAAACCUACCUACCCUUGACAUGUCUGAAUCCCGAAGAGAUUUGGGAGGCUCGCAAGAGAACCGGAACACAGGUGCUGCAUGGCUGUCGUCAGCUCGUGUCGUGAGAUGUUGGGUUAAGUCCCGCAACGAGCGCAACCUUGUCAUUAGUUGCUACGAAAGGGCACUCUAAUGAGACUGCCGGUGACAAACCGGAGGAAGGUGGGGAUGACGUCAAGUCCCUUUGGCCCUUAUGGGCAGGGCUUCACACGUCAGCGUCGGUCGGGACAGAGGGUCGCCAACCCGCGAGGGGGAGCCAAUCCCAGAAACCCGAUCAGUCCGGAUCGCAGUCUGCAACUCACUGGGUGUGAAGUCGGAAUCGCUAGUAAUCGCGGAUCAGCAUGUCGCGGUGAAUACGUUCCCGGGUCUUGUACACACCGCCCGUCACACCAUGGAGUGGGUUUUACCAGAAGUAGUUAGCCUAACCGUAAGGAGGGCGAUUACCACGGUAGGAUUCAUGACUGGGGUGAAGUCGUAACAAGGUAG
rnacentral:rRNA from 1 species